UCUCCCCCACCCCCGCCAUGUUCCCCCCACUGUCACCCCCUAAGGAACUGAAGACUUGAAGACUCUUCUCACCAGCCCCGUGAGCCUGGGGACAGGCUCCUCCGAGCCUCAAAGGGCAGUUUUUGAAAUUCCACGAUCUAGAGUCGAAUGCGGUUACUUGCUUAUACCCUGCAUCCCUGCCUGGGACAUGAGCAAGAGGCAGUGUUGGCUGUGGAUGAUGAGGCCCCCUUCGGUCAGCAUGUGACACCCCGCUGGUUCCUGGUGCAGUUGGCAGCUCCUGGCUGAGCUGGCUAGGUACUUGGAAGCAAGAAGUGUGGACGUGAGCAAAGGCCUGGACAGGAGGCUGCUCAGGGCUGUUUGCCUCAUGCCACCAGGAAGCUCUGGCGCGGCCAGGACCCCUGCCCGAAGGCCCUGACUUAGCCCCGGGCUUGCUGGAGAAUUCUGGGUUUGGAGAAUAAAGCAGCUUCUGGACUUGAGAAGACCUCUGAGGAGGACCUGAGUGUUGACCUGCCGGGGCCGGAGGGCUCGCGCCCUCGCAGACACCACGCCCCAGCCCGCGCUUCCCUCCUGCGGACAGACGUUCCUCUGCCCGGCCAGCUCCUGGGGCUCCCCACCCCCACACGGCCGCCAUCCCGUUCUCCCCCCACCUUCCACCUCGGCUGUGCCCUUGGGCUCAGCACCUCUUCUUGUUUGCUCCAUUAUCUUCCAGCCGGAUACAGAGUGAAUAGUUAACUACACUCGGAGCAAAUGGGAUCUUAAUUUUUGUUCCUGCUGCUUCUAAAGCGGCCGCUGUUUGUACGCUGCCACGUGAGCCGCCGGGAGCAGCAGCCGUGUGGCCUGGCCCCACGGGCUCGAGUGAGCGAACCCGCGCACGAGUUCUCCACGGCCCAGAGAGCGGCGGGGCCUCGCGGGGUGCCGCGUGGGCAGGCUGGUGCUGUCCAAGGCCCGCUGUCCUGGCGCGGCCACGCGCGUCUUCGCCCGCCCCCGCCCGCGACGCCAGCGCACCGCCGCGGUGAGGACCCCGUUCCCGGGGCAGUGGGGUCCAGGCCAGAGCGUGGCUUCUCCGUAGUGGCCACAUGCAGGCCUGGCAGCCUCCUCCAAGCUGCCCUGCGUCAGCCUCGUGGAAAAUGCAGCACCCGCGAUGAUUGGACUGUGUGUGUCCAGGGCGGUGGACGGGUGGCCGUUGUCAAAGGAAUUAAAGCCAGACCCCC